rnacentral:rRNA from 1 species
CCUACGGGUGGCAGCAGUGAGGAAUAUUGGUCAAUGGGCGAGAGUCUGAACCAGCCAAGUCGCGUGAGGGAUGACUGCCCUAUGGAUUGUAAACUUCUUUUGUAAGGGAAUAAAACGAGCCACGUGUGCCUUUUUGAAUGUACUUUAUGAAUAAGGAUCGGCUAACUCCGUGCCAGCAGCCGCGGUAAUACGGAGGAUCCGAGCGUUAUCCGGAUUUAUUGGGUUUAAAGGGAGCGUAGAUGGGUUGGUAAGUCAGGUGUGAAAGUUUGCGGGUCAAACGUAGAAGUGCAGUUGAUACUGGCAGUCUAGAGUAGAGGAGAGGUAGGCGGAAUGCGUGGUGUAGCGGUGAAAUGCAUAGAUAUCACGAAGAACCCCGAUUGCGAAGGCAGCUUAC